rnacentral:lncRNA from 1 species
GUUUAAAUUAUAAGACUCUGAGGCACUGAAAAAAUCAGUUUAUUAGAAUUCGGCAUUAGUAUACCUUAAAAGAAACUAACACUCAGAAGCAAAGAAAGCCUGAGAAAAACAAAUCUAGUCACAGAUACAUCUUGCUAAUAUUCUUUUUCAUUUUCAAUAGUCCUUCAGCAUUUGCUUAUGCCACUGCUUGAAAUCAUUAUACUUAACUUUAAAUGUUAGAAUUUAAAAAAGCAAAGUCAGCAGAAAUUUAGAGCCUCUGGAAUCACAGAUUUCCUAAAAAAUUGAGAUCCUUUGUCUAAAGAGAGGGAGUAUAUGUUUUAUAAGUUCAUCAUCACUGACUUGAAAUAUGUUCAGAACUUUCCAGGUGACAUAAUGCAUUUUUAAGGAAGUCAAUUCUUUUUCUGAUUAGAGAUUCACAAAUUUCUAAACACACUACCACCGUGUGGUAUCAGUCAGAAUGAUGCCAGUACUUACCAUUUGAAGAAAUGGCUUUCAGUGUCGACAUCACUUUUAAGUCCCAUAUUCUUUCCUGGCCUUGUCGCAAAGCAGAGCUGAAUUAAACUAACUUAUAUACAAAUGGUUCAUUUGCAAUUUCCAACCCCAUGGGCUUCAAACUGUCUCCCUAUACUAAUGAGAAUCGUAUUCACUUCUGGCUACGUUGUAUUUGUGUCUUCAGUGGCUGACUCAUUCCACACUCUACUCAUGUAGCUUAUCAUUAUCUUGUCCACAGACAAAACACACAAUGAAUUCAGAUGAGAAUGGCCCACUGACUUGAGAAUCUGGAGGAAGCACAAAGUGGAAAACACAAACAACAUCAACAGCAAAUUACAGCAACUCCUUGCAAUGUAUUUCCCUUAGUAGUUUAUUUUCUUUUUGGAUUAUUUUUCGUAAAAAUUGGCAAAAUCCAGAACAACUUUGUACAUUGUUCUAACAGCUUCAUUGAACGAUAAUUUUAUGACUCACUUCUCCACUUAAUAGAAACUUCUCGCUUUCUCUUACGUUUAUUAAUUUUGAAACUGCUUACCAUUUGUCUAAUUAACUGCACUCUGAACAAAGAAAUAAACUGAUUCGAGCGUGUUCUUCAUACGAAAAUGAGCAACAGAGACCUUUCUUAUUGAACAUCCUCACUUUCUACCUCAAGACAGGUGUUCUGCAUAUAUGCAAAUACUGCAGACAGAAGGCUUCCUAUGUUUUAAGCACUAUAAUAUUAAGACCUUUCCCCCUUAUUAUAACAUUCCCAAAAUUAUCAGUGCCACCUCUGCUUAUCUACAUUUUAAAAAUAUUUAACCUUCAGUAAGAUCAUCUGUUGUGCUGAUAUCAAAGUAAGGAGAGAAAACAACUCAGAUAUUCUAUCAAGUUCAACCAAAACUUCCUGCUUCCCUUAGUUGCCACAAUUCUGGACCUAGACUCCAAGUUUAUAAAAGAAAAUGAAAAAAAAUUCACAAGGCAGAGCUUCAAGUUAUCAUAAUAUCUUAGAAGGAUGUUAGUUAUUUUAUGCCCAGAACAUUUUACAAGCUCCAAAACCUUCACUAGAACAAUAUUUUAGGAAUCUGAAAUUAUUUCUGCACUUCUCACCACCCAAGAAUCUGACAGCUUGUAUUAAAAAUAGUAUGUAUGCAGGAACUCCCUGGUUACUAUCUCCCUUAAGUUUUAAGGCACUCAAAUCAUUGAGUCUUCUUUCUAAGAAUUACGGAAGAGGCUGAAGAAAACGCAUAUCAAAUUCAUCAUGUGUAAUUUUCUCACUAAAAUCAAUCGAUUUCUGUUAGUACCAUAUAUUAGGACUAAUUAAAAUUACCAUAUCCAGCAGCCAGUCUGUACCUUUCCAGAUAUCCUUCUCCAGUAUCCAUAACCACGCACUGCUCUGUCUUCCAUCAUGCUUCUUUUAUUGCUGAGUGAGGCGCUCGCUCCUUCAUUAAAUAGCAUUAAAAAUAGACUGCACAGAACUCCCCAGUGGAGCAUGCUCGAACAGGGCUAAUGCCAUAGUUCUCAAGGUAACCAUACUCAGCUGGGAUCUAAGAGGGAAAGCCACUGGGAGAUCAGCAAUUUGCGAAUCUAAUAGCGCACACGAACCUGUCUCGGUCUGAUCUGAAUACUAUAGGAGAGAAAUCAGUGUGUAGUGAAAUUAAGUCACCGAGAAGCUGAAAGUCAAUUUCUGGAGCUAUAUGAGUUUCUUUAAAUAUCCCUCACCUAAACAAAGUACUCUGUUAAACAGGCGUUUAUCUACAGCAACUUAGUUAUAUUAUUUAUCAAAUAACAUAACUCAUGUCUAGAAAGGGCACAGUAUGACAUGUAUGCAUAGCAGUCUAAAUGUCUUAAAAAUUGCAUUUAAACCAAAUCAUAAUAGUAUUGAUAAGCAAAGACAGUCAUAGGUUAGCCUCAUAUCUUUUGUGAUAAGGAAGUGUAUUCCUUAAAGAAUACACUAAACUCACUUUCCAGAAAAUUUAAAAAUAUUCUACUAGUGGAAGUGAUCCAAAGAAAUAAAAGAAAGUGAUAAGAAAGGAAAUACAGCAUCGAACACAAAUACAUACCUUAAAAAUCCAUAUAAACCUGAGAAGGGUGCAUACAUAAUUUCCCACAUGCGAUCCACAUUAGAAGUGCAACAGAAGCAGAAACAAUUACCGUGAAGAUAGUCGAUUACUGAACUAUUUGAACAAAACAUAGCUAGAGCUCUCAGCUUCCAAAUGACUGCCUUUUGUGAAAAUGACAUUAACUAAAAUCCUAUUAAGACAUGCAAGCCCUGUGGUAACACAAAUACAGAGGAUCAGAGGACUAGGUGCAUUUAUUUUAAAGUAUGUGUCAAAGGUUUUCUAACUUUUACCAAAUGAAAAAAUGAUUUCCUGUCGCCUCUAUUUCUGUUUUCUUCAAACAAUCACAGCAAUUUCGACCACCAAAGUGGAUGAAGAGGUGGGAAUCAUUUGGCUUUCUUCAGUAUUUGAAUGAACGCUUGUACAGAUUCAUUUUAACUUUGGGGGAAUGUCAUUCUUGUUUGGAGAAGCUGAACUGUCAUACCAAGAGAUUAAAAAAAAAUCAGAAAUCGAAAUAGCUAUCUGCACUCUAAACACAUGCUCAUGAACGUGAUUUCUCCCAGCCUGGCAUUGUACUUACUAGCUUCACAUCCCUCUAACUUUCAAUUUCCUCUUUGUUUUUCCUCUUGGGUUUGGACUGUUCUUAUCCGGUAUCUUCGGAAGGUGAUCGAGAACUGAACCUGAGCAGCUGUCAGUAACCACAUCCACUCCAGCUCUGUUGCUAUGCAUAAACACUGAAUGAGUCAAUUUUUCUUCCUAGGAAACUUUCUAAACACCUGUCUAAUUCAACUCAAUUCUAUCCCCAUAUCUACAACCUGAGCCAGAUGACAUUAAAUUGGAGGUUGCAAUGAAACACGGAUAUCAAACAUGUAAAACUAAAGCUGAACAUCUUCUUUUUCCCCUUAACCCCCUGGGAGGCAGGACCCCAACUCCUCUGAGGACAACAAACAUAACUUUUUGCCUCUUACAUAACUCUCUUUCAAAUGAAAUAAGAGCAUUCUAAAGUUUCGACCAUGAAACCUGCAUAAAUCAUUGUAGACUUCUCCGAUGAAAACAACUGCCCUUUUCAAUUCUCUUCCAGGUUUCCAUUUCGGCCUCAUUUGGGGGAGGGGGAGUUUACCCCUCCUUUGACGAAACACAAAAACACAAUACAUAUAUAACAACAGCUUUCUACAGACACGAAGGAGAAAUACAGACGAGAAACAAUUGCAAAGAAAAGCACAGAUACACGGCAGAAAGGAGGAGAAAAUAAAUCACAAAAGGCGUGCAAUGUUCACGUCGGAAGACCUUGAUUAUUACCUUGACCGAACAGUGGAUAUCCCCCCAGCGUCUUGGUGCCUUGAUUGAUUUGAUUUAGUUUUUGGCUUUUAUUAAUAUUAUUAUUUCUCAAUGAUUGAUUUGGCUGGAUUUGUUUGGUUUGGCUUGGCUUUUUUUUUUUUUUUGGUCGAUUUAUUUAACUGCUGGUAAACGAGCUUUCUGCAGCGUCGGCUGGGAUCCUCGCAGGGCUGUGGCGGCCAAGGCUGCGGCGACGGUGGUGGCUUCGGCUGGCGACCCUACUGCCCCUGCUGCUUGUCGCAGCUCCGGACGCGCUCAGGGGGAGCCGCCGCCGCCUUCUCUGCCCGGCUGGCUGCAGGGAGUGAACGUGCCCCCACCUCCUGUCUGCCAGUCUGUCCCUCUGCACGUCUGUUUGUCUGACCGUCUGUGGCUCAGCCUGGCAGCUCAGCGCGGGAUUCUAGCUUUCCUGCGCUCCGCUCUCCGAGCUGCCACUCUCGCUGGCUGUCAGUCCGUGCAUAAGUCAAUCUGUCCGUCCCUCCGCGUCUCGGUCCGCCUAGCGAUGCAGGGUCCCUCUUCCCGUCUUCUGAGCCCGCAUCUCUCUCCCUCUCCCACCAGUGUCCCGGUUGCUUCCCUCGGACAGAGGAGGGCGUCUGGAAGGGAGGGAGCACGCGAGUGCUACGCUCUCUCUCUUUUUCUCACACACUCUCUCUCUCUUUCGUUCUCUCUCUCCCUCUCUCUGCGUUCCAGUCUCCCUGUCUCAAGCUGUCUAACUGCUCCCACCUGUCCGUUGCUCUGUCACUCCUACCCUGAGCCAGCCAGCCUCGGUCCGUCCCUCGGUCCCUCGUCCCCUGCCUCCCCG